AUUCUACUCCCUCCAUUGCACAAUACUACAUGCCUUCUAUUUGUCAAAAUAUAUAUGUAUCUGGACAUGUCUUAGUAUAUAGGUACAUCCAUUUUUUGACAAAUGGAAGUCAAGUAUUUUGGAACGGAGGGAGUACACA
rnacentral:pre_miRNA from 1 species